rfam:Pan troglodytes isolate Yerkes chimp pedigree #C0471 (Clint) chromosome 14, whole genome shotgun sequence.
GCCAGGCAUGGUGGCUCAUGCCUGUAAUCCCAGCACUUUGGGAGGCUGAAGCGGGUGGGUCACCUGAGGUCAGGAGUUCGAGACCAGCCUGACCAACAUGGUGAAACCCCGUCUCUA